rnacentral:rRNA from 1 species
UUUUGAUUACGUCCCUGCCCUUUGUACACACCGCCCGUCGCUGCCCGGGACUGAGCCAUUUCGAGAAACUUGGAGACUGUUGAUCUAAUUUUUUUAAGUUACUUUGAUGGAAACCAAUUUAAUCGCAGUGGCUUGAACCGGGCAAAAGUCGUAACAAGGUAGCUGUAGGUGAACCUGCUGCUGGAUCAUUA